UACGUAGGUGGCAAGCGUUGUCCGGAUUUACUGGGCGUAAAGCGUGGGCAGGCGGACGCUUAAGUAGGAAGUGAAAGGUUGGGGCUCAACCCUAACACUGCUCCCUAUACUGGGUGUCUUGAGUGGUGGAGAGGAAAGCGGAACUACACGUGUAGCGGUGAAAUGCGUUGAGAUGUGUAGGAACACCGAUGGCGAAAGCAGCUUUCUGGACACAAACUGACGCUCAUCCACGAAAGCCAAGGUAGCGAACAGG
rnacentral:rRNA from 1 species